AUGGCCUCUUCGGGCAGGGUGGUUCUCGUCAAAUCUGUCCUCACAGCCAUCGCCAUAUACUACAUGACUGCACUUGAUCUGCCAGUGGAGGUUUUGAAGAAGAUUGACUCCCUUCGGCGUGCUUUCCUUUGGGCUGGCUGUGACAAGGUCACCGGUGGCAAAUGCAAGAUCAAUUGGGAACAAGUGUGUAAA
rnacentral:rRNA from 1 species